AUGGGCAUACCACAUUGAAUACACAGGUUCUCGUCCGAUCACUGAAGUUAAGCAAUGUCAAGCCCGAUCAGUACUUGGGAGGGUGACCACCUGGGUGUUGUAGGCU